rnacentral:rRNA from 1 species
AUUGAACGCUGGCGGCAGGCCUAACACAUGCAAGUCGAGCGAGCGGCGGACGGGUGAGUAAUGUAUGGGGACUGCCCGAUAGAGGGGGAUAACUACUGGAAACGGUAGCUAAUACCGCAUACUAUCGGAUAACCCAUAUGGGAUUAGCUAGUAGGUGAGGUAAUGGCUCACCUAGGCGACGAUCCCUAGCUGGUCUGAGAGGAUGAUCAGCCAACUGGGGACGGGGACACGGCCCAGACUCCUACGGGGGCAGGAGUGGGGAAUAUUGACCAAUGGGCGCAAGCCUGAAGCAGCCAUGCCGGGUGUAUGAAGAAGGCCCUAGGGUUGUAAAGUACUUUCAGUCGGGAGGCGUUACCGACAGAAGAAGCACCGGCUAACUCCGUGCCAGCAGCCGCGUAAUUC